rnacentral:snoRNA from 1 species
AAUUUGAUGUGGACAUUGUAUUUGUAGCUCCCCAAAUCUUUCCCAAGCUUCAAAGAAUUCUUCCAUAUGUUUUUGUCUAAAAAUUUGGAUCUUGUUUCUUAACACU